UACGGAGGGUGCAAGCGUUAAUCGGAAUUACUGGGCGUAAAGCGCACGUAGGCGGCUGUUUAAGUCGGAUGUGAAAGCCCCGGGCUCAACCUGGGAACUGCAUCCGAUACUGGGCAGCUAGAAUUUGAGAGAGGCAAGUGGAAUUUCCGGUGUAGCGGUGAAAUGCAUAGAGAUCGGAAGGAACACCAGUGGCGAAGGCGACUUGCUGGCUCAAAAUUGACGCUGAGGUGCGAAAGCGUGGGUAGCAAACAGG
rnacentral:rRNA from 1 species